ensembl:miRNA mir-80 ncRNA
UGAGAUCAUUAGUUGAAAGCCGA